rnacentral:rRNA from 1 species
CCUACGGGAGGCAGCAGUGGGGAAUAUUGCACAAUGGGGGAAACCCUGAUGCAGUGACGCCGCGUGAGUGAAGAAGUAAUUCGUUAUGUAAAGCUCUAUCAGCAGGGAAGAAAAUGACGGUACCUGAGUAAGAAGCCCCGGCUAACUACGUGCCAGCAGCCGCGGUAAUACGUAGGGGGCAAGCGUUAUCCGGAUUUACUGGGUGUAAAGGGAGCGUAGACGGCAGUGCAAGUCUGGAGUGAAAGGCGGGGGCUCAACCCCCGGACUGCUCUGGAAACUGUACGGCUUGAGUGCAGGAGAGGUAAGUGGAAUUCCUAGUGUAGCGGUGAAAUGCGUAGAUAUUAGGAGGAACACCAGUGGCGAAGGCGGCUUACUGGACUGUAACUGACGUUGAGGCUCGAAAGCGUGGGGAGCAAACAGGAUUAGAUACCCCAGUAGUC